rnacentral:rRNA from 1 species
AAUCAACGCUGGCGGCGUGCCUAACACAUGCAAGUCGAACGAUUAAAGCCCUUUCGGGGGUGUAUAGAGUGGCGUACGGGUGAGUAACACGUGGGUAAGUCUACCUUUGGGUUGGGGGAAGUAAACUACAGGGAAACGUUAGAGCUAAUACCGCAUAAUGCAGCGGCUCGACAUCGAGACAGUUGUUAAAGAUUUAUCGCCUGAAGAGGAGCCUGCGCCUGAUUAGCUAGUUGGUGGGGAAUGGCUUACCAAGGCUACGAUCAGUAGCUGGUCUGAGAGGACGGCCAGCCACAAUGGCACUGAAACACGGGCCAUACUCCUACGGGAGGCAGCAGUGGGGAAUUUGCGCAAUGGGCGAAAGCCUGACGCAGCAA